GCGCCCUUGGUGUAGCGGUAACACACAAUCUACUUCUCAGCGAAAAGUGAAAUGGUUGAGAUUGGGUACGGGGUUCGAACCCCCGAGGGCGCA